rnacentral:rRNA from 1 species
GACGAACGCUGGCGGUGUGCUUAACACAUGCAAGUCGAACGGUAAGGCCCUUUCGGGGGUACACGAGUGGCGAACGGGUGAGUAACACGUGAGUAACCUGCCCUCAUCUCUGGGAUAACAGUCGGAAACGGUUGCUAAUACUGGAUAUGAGCCUGCAAGGCAUCUUGUGGGUUUGAAAGAUUUUUUGGUUGGGGAUGGACUCGCGGCCUAUCAGCUUGUUGGUGAGGUAGUGGCUCACCAAGGCUUCGACGGGUAGCCGGCCUGAGAGGGCGACCGGCCACAUUGGGACUGAGAUACGGCCCAAACUCCUACGGGAGGCAGCAGUGGGGAAUAUUGCACAAUGGACGGAAGUCUGAUGCAGCAACGCCGCGUGCGGGAUGACGGCCUUCGGGUUGUAAACCGCUUUCAAUUGUGACGAAGCUUUUUGUGACGGUAGCAGUAGAAGAAGCACCGGCUAACUACGUG